GGUGAUGCGAGGCGAGAACAAGCCCGGCUCGAACAGUCUUACAUGAUCAACAACACGCAGUGUGAAGCUAGCGCCGCUGAAGAGCUGGAGGCCGAAUACAAACCGCUUCCCUACUGGAUCUGUGGUACACUUAUAGGGUACACAAGCCAUUACUUCAUGCCCUAUGUAGUGCUCGUAUGUAGGAAAUAGGAAGUCAUUUGGGAUUCCAGCUACAUUUGAGCUUCUCUGGAUGUACCGGGUAAUAAUAUUCCCGUGUUUUAACGAAUUGUCCUAAUUUACAAAUUAUAGCGCAAGCAUUUUGUGCUCUUUUGUCAAAAAUACAUCCAGCAUAAAGCUAGGUAGCAUACUCUUAUAGAGUUAAUUGUCGGGAGAACGUCUCCAGCGGGAAACUGUGGCACUGUUCCAAAACUGAGCAGGCACCCUCAAGUCAUGAUGCUGUCGUGGAAAUUAGACAACACUCGCAGACUCGUCCUCUGAAGAGACACAGAAAAACAUGUUGCCGACAAGAGCCUCCAGUAGGAGGAAGAGAUUUACCCACGAGAGCAGUUUCCAAAGACAACAGCGCAUCCACACGGGAGAAAAACCGUAUCAGUGCUCACAGUGUGGAAAGAGUUUUGCUAACUUGAGUCAUUUCCAACGACACCAGCACAUUCACAUAGAAGAAAAGCCUUAUCAUUGCUCACAGUGUGGAACGAAUUUCAGGCAGAAAGCUCAUCUCCAGCAGCACCAGCGCAUUCAUACUGGAGAAAAACCAUAUCAAUGCUCACAGUGUGGAAUAAGUUUCACACGGAAAUAUACUCUCCAGCAACACCAGCAAAUUCAUACAGGAGAGAAAUCAUUUGUCUGUGUGCAGUGUGGGGCGAAAUUUACUCACAGGUCUGCUCUCAAAACACACCAACACAUCCAUACAGGAGAGAAGCUGUAUCACUGCUCCCAAUGCGGAAAGAGUUUUACUAACUUGGGAAAUUUCCAACGACACCAACGUAUUCACACAGAAGAGAAGCCGUAUUACUGCUCACACUGUGGAAAGAUUUUUAAUUGAGAGAGUACUCUCCAAUGACACCAACGUAUUCACACAGGAGAAAAGCCGUAUCAGUGCUCACACUGUGGAAAGAAUUUUAAUCGAGAGAGUAAUCUCCGACAACACCAGCACGUUCACACUGGAGAAAAGCCGUAUCAGUGCUCACACUGUGGAAAGAGUUUUGCUGACUCGAGUAAUUUCCGACGACACCAGCGCAUUCACACUGGAGAAAAGCCGUAUCAGUGCUAAACCAGACCUAAACCCAAUUGAGCAGCAUUUCACCUCCUGAAGAGGAGACUUUAGGGAGAAACCCCCUGAAACAAACAACAACUGAAAGAAGCUGUGGUUAAAAACCUGGAAAAGCUUCACAAAACCAACAGUUUGGUGUCGGUGAGUCACAGGUUUGAUGCAGUUACAGAAAAUUGCUCGCCUAAAAAUUGGGUGGUCUGAUACAAAAGGUUCUAUGUUUUAUGUUGUUUAACACAUCUAGAUGUAAAUACCAGGAAAUAAAAGCUGAAAU